rnacentral:rRNA from 1 species
GAUGAACGCUAGCGGCAGGCCUAACACAUGCAAGUCGAACGGCAGCACGGGUGCUUGCACCUGGUGGCGAGUGGCGAACGGGUGAGUAAUACAUCGGAACGUACCUUAUCGUGGGGGAUAACGCAGCGAAAGCUGUGCUAAUACCGCAUACGCCCUGAGGGGGAAAGCGGGGGAUCGAAAGACCUCGCGCGAUUAGAGCGGCCGAUGCCUGAUUAGCUUGUUGGUGGGGUAAAGGCCUACCUAGGCAACGAUGGUUAGCGGGUCUGAGAGGAUGAUCCGCCACACUGGCACUGGAACACGGGCCAGACUCCUACGGGAGGCAGCAGUGAGGAAUAUUGCGCAAUGGGGGCAACCCUGACGCAGCGACGCCGCGUGAGUGAGGAAGGCCUUCGGUC